UAGUUUGAUUGUUAAUUUAAGAGUUUCACCUGUAGUAUACCAUCUUGUAUUAAUAUCGAUUAAACCCGUCAAUUAUAGGAUUUUCCAGCUUGUAUUAAAAAUUGAAUCACAUAUAAUAUGUUAUUAAUUAUUGUAGUAUAUAAGUUAUAAAUUUUCAAUAUAAUAUGUACGAAAUUGAAUAUAAAUAUUUCAAAUUAUGACCCGUUACUCAGUAGAAAGUUUUCUUAAAUCUAUUUUUCACCCGUUAUAAUAUUUUUUCAUGUAUUGAACAGUUUAUUUUUGUUUUUAAAAAUUCAAAUUAUGGUAUAUGCGAAAAAACUCUAAUUAUUUUUUUAUAAUGAUGAUAUUAUUUUUCCGCAAAAAUAGAAUCAUAUAAAGAUGAGAAGUGAACUAUAAUAAUUAAUAAAAAAUUAAUAUGAUAAUUUAGAUAUCAAAUAUAAUUUGUUGAUUUUAAUUGGUUACUUUUUUGGAAAUUAAUAAUGUAUUUCGUUUUUCUAAUUAAAUUAAAUUAAUUAAAAUUUAGAUAUCAAAUCUUAUAUGUUGAUUUUGAUUGGUUAUUAUUUUUAGAAAUUAAUAAUAAUUUCGGUUUUUAAUA
rnacentral:sRNA from 1 species